CAUUUAUGGAUCAGAAGCAGCCUCUGAAUCAUCUCUUCACACUGCUGCUGCUCCUUUCAUGCCUUCUCUCCCUGGAAGCAGCUCCACUGUCAAGAAUCCUUGCAUCAAGGAACCAAGACAGAGCAGUAAUGAAGGCUGCAGUACAGGUGAUUAACAAAGAGAUGAUAGUCACGGAAGGAGUUCCUGUGAGCGGGGCGAUGGACAUUGAACUCAAUGACUACCCGGGUUCUGGAGCAAACAGCCACCAUGAUCCUAAGAACCCUAGAAAACCGUGAAUCACACUCCCAGUGUGGAAGAUGGAUUGGCUUGUACUAUUAGCCACCUAGUGCAGUAGCCUUGAUGAGUUCAUGUAUUAUGUAUGAUUAGUACUGGAGCAAUGGUUUCAA